UAAGACGAAGGUGGCAAGCGUUGUUCGGUGUUACUGGGCUUAAAGCGUGUGUAGGCGGAAAAGUAAGCGCUUUGUGAAAUCCCCCGGCUUAACCGGGGAAUUGCUGGGCGUACUGCUUUUCUUGAGGCAAGUAGGGGUGCAUGGAACUCUUGGUGGAGCGGUGGAAUGCGUAGAUAUCAAGAGGAACGCCAGUGGAGAAAUCGGUGCACUGGGCUUGUCCUGACGCUGAGACACGAAAGCGUGGGGAGCGAACGGGAUUAGAUACCCCGGUAGUCCACGCUGUAAACGAUGUCUACUAGGUUGUGGAGGUUCUGACACCUGCACGACCGAAGCAAAAGUGUUAAGUAGACCGCCUGGGGAGUACGGUCGCAAGGCUA
rnacentral:rRNA from 1 species